UCAUUUCGGUGGUGAGUGGCAGACGGGUGAGUAACACGUGGGAACGUACCCUUCGGUUCGGAACAACUCUGGGAAACUGGAGCUAAUACCGGAUACGCCCUUUUGGGGAAAGGUUUACUGCCGAAGGAUCGGCCCGCGUCUGAUUAGCUAGUUGGUGGGGUAACGGCCUACCAAGGCGACGAUCAGUAGCUGGUCUGAGAGGAUGAUCAGCCACACUGGGACUGAGACACGGCCCAG
rnacentral:rRNA from 1 species